UUCUACACAGGAAACCUCACCUGAGGCCUC
rnacentral:piRNA from 1 species